rnacentral:rRNA from 1 species
UGGGGAAUAUUGCACAAUGGGCGAAAGCCUGAUGCAGCAACGCCGCGUGAGUGAUGAAGGUCUUCGGAUUGUAAAGCUCUGUCUUUUGGGACGAUAAUGACGGUACCAAAGGAGGAAGCCACGGCUAACUACGUGCCAGCAGCCGCGGUAAUACGUAGGUGGCGAGCGUUGUCCGGAUUUACUGGGCGUAAAGGGUGCGUAGGCGGAUGUUUAAGUGAGAUGUGAAAUACCCGGGCUUAACUUGGGUGCUGCAUUUCAAACUGGAUAUCUAGAGUGCAGGAGAGGAGAAUGGAAUUCCUAGUGUAGCGGUGAAAUGCGUAGAGAUUAGGAAGAACACCAGUGGCGAAGGCGAUUCUCUGGACUGUAACUGACGCUGAGGCACGAAAGCGUGGGUAGCAAACAGGAUUAGAUACCCUGGUAGUCCACGCCGUAAAACGAUGAGUACUAGGUGUAGGAGGUAUCGACCCCUUCUGUGCCGCAGUAAAACACA